AUAGCGUCCGGUAGCGACACGGAGCCGGCUCCCCCUUUUCCAGCCUUCCUCCCCAUCUCCCAUUCUCCAUCCCCCACGACCUAUACCAGAGGUCCUUAGGCCUCCACGUCUCUCCUUUUGCCGAGUAGCCCAAGGUUUCCACCCAUCUGCCAGGUCUGGGGCGUCAAGUCGGCUGCCUCGGCUUGGGAAGGUGCUUGGGAGGGAAGAAGGAAGGAGAGGCCCACCAGGCGAAGGGGUGAGGGGUAGGGGGUUGCGGGAGUUCCCUCUCACUCCCGAAGAUAUAAAGCAACCUUUAUUAUUAUUAUUAUUUUUUCUUGUGAGAGGGAAUGAGGCAGCGGGAUGUUUCCUCUAAAGGCCUUGUUUAAACCUGGGCCCGGGGAAUGGUGGUGGACUGGGUUCUGGGGGAAAGCGGGCUGGUUUCUCAGGUCAACUCAGGCUUCGACUGUUCCCAGGGGGAUGGCGUCCACUCCGAUGGGGAAUGAGGGGGAGAAGAAGAGCAGCUGGCCAUCUCAAGCUGCACCCUCCUUGAGAGGAGGUCCGCAUUCUUCACCAAGACCUGAGGCACAGACACCUGGUGAGUGAGGCUUCAAGGGAGAUGCUCUUUGUCCUGGGAGAGAGAAACCGUACCUGCAGCAAGGCAUACCUCCUGCCAACUCCUGGUGAAAAGAACAUGCCUCAAAACUACUCUUUUGCCACUCGUUAACCACUUCCGUUUGUGGGGACCUCCUGGUCAUGAGCAGCAUCAUCCCGAAGCCUUCAAAGUGUUCUGGAUUCAUCACAGGACCCUCCAGCCUCAGCCAGCAAGGAUACCACCAGGAAUGAAAGUGCUUUAAUAAAGAGACAGGGUGUGCA
rnacentral:lncRNA from 1 species